rnacentral:rRNA from 1 species
GACGAACGCUGGCGGCGUGCCUAAUACAUGCAAGUCGAGCGAACAGAUGAGGAGCUUGCUCCUCUGACGUUAGCGGCGGACGGGUGAGUAACACGUGGGCAACCUGCCCUUAAGACUGGGAUAACUCCGGGAAACCGGGGCUAAUACCGGAUAAUUGAAAGAACCUCCUGGUUCUUUUAUGAAAGGCGGCUUCGGCUGUCACUUAAGGAUGGGCCCGCGGCGCAUUAGCUAGUUGGUGAGGUAACGGCUCACCAAGGCAACGAUGCGUAGCCGACCUGAGAGGGUGAUCGGCCACACUGGGACUGAGACACGGCCCAGACUCCUACGGGAGGCAGCAGUAGGGAAUCUUCCGCAAUGGACGAAAGUCUGACCGAGCAACGCCGCGUGAGUGAAGAAGGUUUUCGGAUCGUAAAACUCUGUUGUUAGAGAAGAACAAGGGUGAGAGUAACUGUUCACCCCUUGACGGUAUCUAACCAGAAAGCCACGGCUAACUACGUGCCAGCAGCCGCCGUAAAAC